CAAACAGUAAUUCAAAGGGGUUAUUAAGGAAAAACUAGCAAAUUUAUAAAAAAGGAGGGCACAAGUCCAAAAGCCACAAUUUACCGAAAGGUGAUCAAGUUUCAUUAGAUUUAUUUAAUGUUGACAAAGAAUGUAGGCGAUCCUAAGGGAAACCUUUAUAUUUAAACUUCCCGAAGUAAAACAUUUCAUUAGGGAAAGGAAAGGAAAUCAACCGAGACUCCGAAAGUAAUGGCGAGUGAAAUCGGACUAGCCUUUAUUUAAAAAUAAAUUUAACAAAAAUACACACCAGAAACCAAAGAAGGUAAAACAGUCCUGUAUGUUAAAUCUUUUUAAAACUAAUGUUUAAAUAAGUAUUAUUAAAUUAAAAUUUAUUUAAAUAAUGAGUACGACGAGAGCGAACUUGUCGGAAUAUAGGGGAACCAUCCUCUAAGGCUAAGUAUUUAUAAAUUUAGCGAUAGUGAAAAGUACCGUGAGGGAAAGUUUGAAAUAGUUAUGUAAUUUUAGACAUAAAUGAAAUAGUUGAAUUAGUAACUCUAUAAGCAGUCGAAAUUUAUAAUUAUAAAUGACGGCGUACCUUUUGCAUAAUGGGUCAGCAAGUUAAUAGGAGUAGCAAGGUUAAAAGCCUUAGUGAAAGCGACCACACUAACUAGCUAAAAGUAUUCUUAAUUUCAUAGAUAUUAAGAAUAGGAUAUCCUUCAUAGUCAUAAGGCUAAGAAGUUAAAUAUUUUCUAGGAAUAUAGUGAUGGGUAAGUUACUUCUAUUAGACCCGAAGCUAGGUGAUCUUCCUAAGACCAGAUUAUAAUGGAUCGAACGGGUGAAUGUAGCAAAAUUCUCCGAAGAGUUUUAGGAAGCGGUGAAAUGCCAAUCUGACCUAGUGAUAGCUGGUUUUCUACGAAACAUAUGUAAGUAUGACAUCUAAACAAAAUUUAUGGUGGUACAGCACUGAGUUCCCAACUAUUUCUUUUUUUUAAAGAAAAGUUUAGGUUGCGGGGACGUCGAAAAUCUUACCAAUGGAAGAGAAUCUCGGAAUGACAUAAAUUGAUGAUAGAUAUUCAGACUGCUCAUGCGAAGUUGGGUAGUCAAGACGGAAACAGCCGAGAACACGAAACAAGGUCCCAAAUGAUUUUUAAGUGAAAUGAAGGAAGUAAUAUAUUGAAUGCAGCUGUAAAGUGAGCCUGGUAGUCGCUAUCUUUUAAUAAACGUAAUGUAACAACGUAGCAGCCUUAAACAAUAGAAUAUUACACCAAAAAUUUAACGGGUCUCAAAAAAUCAACCGAUAUCGUGUUUAUUUUGAAUAAUAAAAAUUAAUAUUCAAUAUACAGGUAGUAGAACAUUCAGUAUACUGAUGAUAAAACAGUGUUUCAUUGUUUUUAGGUCACUGAAGAGAGAAUGCUGACAUGAGUAACGUAAAAAGAAGUUAUAAUACUUCUCGCCGAAUACGAAAGGGUUGUAAGGAAAGGUUAAACCACCUUAUGUUAAUGCGGCCUCUAAGGAACAAAACCAAAGUUUUGUCUGAUGAGUAUGAAUUAGAAAGUCCAUUUUUAAAAAUAAAAAUUUAAUAAAGGGACCAGGAAAAGAAUAUAUUCUUAACUACCGUACCCUAAACCGACACAGGUUCGUAAGUAGAGUAUACUAAGGCGUAGAGCUAAAAGUUGUUAAGGAACUCGGCAAGUUCUCCUCAUAAGUUUGACGAUAAGAGGAACCCGAUAAGGGUGGCACAAAAUCGGAGGCCCCGACUGUUUACUAAAAACACAAUUCAGAGCAAUGAUGAAAAAUCAUAGUAUUCUGGAUGAAAUUUGCCCAAUGCCAUUAACAUAAAAGAGGUUAUGGGUAACUGUAACUGAUUGAAAGUCUGGUUAAUAGCGGUCUUAACUAUGAGGAUCCAAAGGUAGCAAAAUAAAUUGGCCAUUAAAUGUGGUCUGGUAUCAAUAGUGUAACGAUGGUCUCACUGUCUCUACAACUUGCUCAGUGAAAUUGAAUUACCCGUGCAGAUGCGGGUUGCCUCCAGGUGGACGGGAAGACCCUAUGCAGCUUUACUGUAGUUAGCUAUCAUAUUGAUCUACAACAACCUUAGUUAAUAGUAAUUAGGGAUGUCGAAUUGACGAAAGAUGGAAUACCUUCUGACUUUGGUUGGGUUAAUAUUUACCUUUUUAAGUAAAAUAUUAUAUAUGACUCAAAAUUUUCUUUUGUUUAUUCUAUUCAUAUUCUGUUAUAUAGUGUAAUAUGGUAUAAAGCUUAUAAGGGAUAGGUGGCUAAUUGGCAGUUUGACUGGGGCGGUCGUCUUUGAUAAAGUAGCAAAGUACAUCCAAAGAUAUUUAUUUAUUAGAAACAAUCUUUUUUUAAAAAGAUACUUACUAAAAAUUCAUAGUAUCUAUAUAAACUAUGAAGAAUAUAAUUUAUUAUAUUUUUAUUAACUUAAGGUAUAGCUAGAAAAUUGAAUGGAAAUCAAUCAACCAGUGUGAAAGGUUGUAAUAGGCGUAAUGGCGGAAAGCAUGCCUAACUGAAAGACUUAGAAGUCGAACAGAUACGUAAGUAGGGCAUAGUGACCCUUCGCUAUAUUAUGGAAUAGACGGGGAUCAAUCGAUAAAAGUUACGCUAGGGAUAACAGGCUGAUAGCUGGUGAGAGUACACAUUGUCCCGGCUGUUUGGCACCUUGGAUAUAUUAUAUUAAAUUUAUAAAUACCACAUAAAAGAAUCAGUAUCUCAUUAUUUUGUUUGCUUCGAGCAAGAGAUAGUUCUUAAAAUUAUAAGAGCCCAAUUAUUUUAAUAAUUAAUCUAAAAUGAAUAAACCUAUAAUUGAAAUGUUAGUAGGAAAUCUUCUAGGAGAUGCCUCUAUCAAAAAAACAGUAUCUGGUAAAGCUUAUAUAACAUUUGAACAGUCUAUAAAAAAAUCUGAUUAUUUAAAUCACUUGUAUGAGCUAGUAAAAAGUAGUGGAAUACCUUUAAAAAAAGAAUCUCCUACUGUUUACUCUAGAGACGAUGAUAGAUUUGGAACUACAAAUAAAUCAUUAUAUUUUAGAACUGAGGCAGUAGAAGAAUUAAAACCUUUAGCCGAUUUAUUCUUGGAUGAAUCUGGGAAAAAAAUAAUACCUAGAAAUAUUUCUGAGUAUUUAACAGAAAAAGGCUUAGCUCAUUGGAUCAUGGAUGAUGGCCAAAGAGUAAAAAGAGGAGGUGUAACUUUAUGUACCGAUAGUUUUAACUCGGAAGAAGUAAGCAUACUUAGAGAUGCUUUAAAAAUUAAUUUUAAUUUUAAUACUUCUAUUCAUAAUAAAACAUCUAGCAAUGGAUCGGUUUAUGAAAGAAUAUAUAUAAAGAAAGAAUCUUUAGAUUCAAUUAUACCAACAUUGAAUACGCAUAUGCAUGAUUCAAUGCUUUAUAAAAUAAACUUAGAUAGAGUUUUUAGACAAGAUACUGAAGGCUUUAUAAGUGAUUCAGAUGUCAUAACUGAUAUAGAUAUGUUUGACGUUUAAAUUUAUAAUCUUAAUAAGCAAAUAUACAUCGGGGACUAUAAAUAGAAAUGUUUAUAUAAAAAUUGGCUAUAUGCUGGAACCCCCUAAAGCUUUAAGUACUCAUUUAUUUUUAUAAAUUGUAAUAAUCUUAAAGAUUGGGCAAUCAGCAGGGAAGUUACCUUUUUAGGUUAUAGCAACUGUAAAAUUUGUAACCCCUCAACGACUACACGCCAACACCCAGAGCUAACAUAAAGGUAUUCUUAUGCUGGGUGAAGAUAUAGUCUAAUCUUAACCGAAAGAUUAAGCCCAUCCUCAUAUGAGGUGGGAGUAUAUAUUUUAUAUACUAAUAUUGCGAUGUCGACUCAACCUAUCCUCCGGGGGUAGAAGCUUGGAAGGGUUCGGCUGUUCGCCGAUUAAAAGGUUACGCGAGUUGGGUUUAAUACGACGUGAGUCAGUAUGGUCCCUAUCUUCUGGAGGGAUAAAUAGUAAAAAGGGGCAGACCUUCUAGUACGAAAGGAUCAAUAGGCUGUGUUUCUCUAGUGUACCAAUUGUAAUUCUCUAUUCUAAAAAUUUUUAAAGGAUUAAAGAAAGAUUAAAGCAUAGUUGGGUAGCCACAAACAUGAUAGAUAAGCGCUGAAUGAAUAUUAAGCAGGAAGCUAUCCCCUAGAUACUAUCUUAUUGAUUAUCUUUUUAAUUGAUAUUUUAUUAGUUUUCUUUUUAAUCAAUGUGAAUAAGAAAUAGAACAUUUCUAAAUAGGAUGCAAAUGAAAGUGCUGUAA
rnacentral:rRNA from 1 species